UACGUAGGGGGCAAGCGUUAUCCGGAUUUACUGGGUGUAAAGGGAGCGUAGACGGCUGUGCAAGCCAGAUGUGAAAGCCCGGGGCUCAACCCCGGGACUGCAUUUGGAACUGUGUAGCUGGAGUGUCGGAGAGGCUGGCGGAAUUCCUAGUGUAGCGGUGAAAUGCGUAGAUAUUAGGAGGAACACCAGUGGCGAAGGCGGCCUGCUGGACGAUGACUGACGUUGAGGCUCGAAAGCGUGGGGAGCAAACAGG
rnacentral:rRNA from 1 species